rnacentral:lncRNA from 1 species
CAAUAGAUGACUUCUCCCAAGGAGACUCAAUAAGGUGAGACUUUAAAAAUACCUAACACUUACCUGAGGAAUGACUUGAGAGACGUGGUACUCACUUUGCUUUGCUUUUAAAGAAGCUCUGAGAAAGAGGGGAGCGAUGACAGUUGGCAUACCUCUGAGGAAGAGGAACUUGAUUUUACCCCCAAGAAGCUGCAGAAGCCAAACCUGACACUGUUAAUGAAUGCUUCGCAGCAGUUCAGGAAAAACAGUGAGUUAUUUGCAAAAGGUUGCAUGAUAUACUGAUAGAUAAAGUAGGCUUGCUAAAUAGGCUUUUUGGUUGAUUUGGAGGUUUUUUUUGAAAUAGUAAAUGAGAAAAGUAGCAUUUUUCAAACAUGGCAUUUAAUAAUGAAGAAUAAAAUAAGUCAUUAAAAUGAAGAUAUUAAUCCUCUCUUAAGCCCUUUUCCUUCAUCGAGUUCAUCCUCCAUCCUGCCCAAGCUCACCUCUCCAUUUCUAGACAUUCCCAAAUGGCUCCUCUCUUGUACAUUAAUGUACGUGUGUUUUUCCUUUUUUUUUUUUUUUUUGUACUUUAAGGUGAUCGUGGUGAUUCUAGAAUUGAAAGUCCUAAGUCACCAAAGAAAAGUCUCAAACAAAGAAUCCCAUCAGGUGCAAAUGUGAACAAAGGAGACAGUGAAGAAUUGUUUAAUCAAGAUGUCUCAGCUGCAAGCAACCUGGAUGGAGAAGAUUUGGAGGAGGAAGAGGAGGAGGAGGAAGAGGAUGAAAAUGACAAUGGAGAUGGUGAUGAAGAUUAUGAAGAGGAGGAGGAGGAGGAGGAGGAUGAAGAUUUUACAGAAGAUGAAAAGGAGGAGGAGGAGCUGGAAGAUGAAGAAACUCAAUCUAAUGAAAUAAUGGAAGAAGAGAAAACAGUACCUAAAGGGCAAAUUAAUCAGAAAUUAGAGUGUUUCAGUAAAGCAAAGUUUGAAGGGGAUGCUCGAUGUGGAACUGGAGAUGUCUGUGAUGAUGAUGAAAUAACUAAAGAACAGGAUGAAAAGGUGGAGGAAUCUGUUGAUAUUCCUGUGUCUUUCAUAGCUUGUGAACGGUUUCAAGAAAAUAGAACAGUCGCAUCUCCAAAGAUGAUGAAUAAUGAAAUAUCUUGCAAGUCAGUACCAAAACAAGCUGUCUUUCAAAAUCUAAAUAAUCUGCAAGAUAUGCAAGAAAGUUGGAACAGGAAAAGCGUGGUUGAGGAGAAGUUUCACAGAAAUGCUGACUCCUGUUUUGCAGACUCUGAAAUGACAGAGUGGAAAAAAGAGAUACCUCAGCCUCUCUUAGAUAGUUGUGGUGUUAAGGAGAAAAAGUCAAACUUCAGUGAUGGCUUUGAAAGUGGCAAUAAUUCUUGGGUAGCAGAAAAAACCCCAGGACCUGAAAGUGAAAGACCAGCCUCUGUCAUGCUUGAACAUGUGGAUGGUGAAGAUACUGAGGAAGAGGAAUAUGAAGGAAUAGACGAUAAAGGCGGUAAACCACUGAAACAAGAAAGUGAAAACUUGCACUUAAAUAAGCAGGAAGAAAAUCUGAGAGCAGCAUUUCAUUCAAGCACCGAAGAAGAAUCAUCUGAACACGAAGAAGAAAAGGAAGGCGCUGGCAAAAAGCAACAAACUACAGUUGUUGAGGAUGUGAAAAAUUCUGUUUGUAAUGAUAGGCAUGAAGUCCACAAAGCUUCAAAGGACAACUCUGGUGCCCUUCCAACAGUGGGAGUAGAGCAAGAGGAGGAUGCUGAAUCUCCCUGGGAUUCUGAGGUUACACAGGAAGAUUCUGAAAUGCCAAGAAAAAUAUCAUCUGAUGUGCUGCUCCCAGCUGCAGAGAGACAUGGAGCACGGUCCCAGAUUGUGUCAGGGGAAAAUGACAAUGGUAACUUCCUGGUGGCCUAAUGUUUGUCUCUAAGCAUUUACAGGCUAAAGUAAACUUUUAUCAGUGU